AUGCCCAGCUUGCUGGGUGGAUUAGUGGCGAACGGGUGAGUAACACGUGAGUAACCUGCCCCUGACUCUGGGAUAAGCGUUGGAAACGACGUCUAAUACUGGAUAUGAUCACCGGUCGCAUGGUCUGGUGGUGGAAAGAUUUUUUGGUUGGGGAUGGACUCGCGGCCUAUCAGCUUGUUGGUGAGGUAAUGGCUCACCAAGGCGACGACGGGUAGCCGGCCUGAGAGGGUGACCGGCCACACUGGGACUGAGACACGGCCCAGACUCCUACGGGAGGCAGCAGUGGGGAAUAUUGCACAAUGGGCGAAAGCCUGAUGCAGCAACGCCGCGUGAGGGAUGACGGCCUUCGGGUUGUAAACCUCUUUUAGUAGGGAAGAAGCGAAAGUGACGGUACCUGCAGAAAAAGCACCGGCUAACUACGUGCCAGCAGCCGCGGUAAUACGUAGGGUGCAAGCGUUGUCCGGAAUUAUUGGGCGUAAAGAGCUCGUAGGCGGUUUGUCGCGUCUGCUGUGAAAUCCCGAGGCUCAACCUCGGGCUUGCAGUGGGUACGGGCAGACUAGAGUGCGGUAGGGGAGAUUGGAAUUCCUGGUGUAGCGGUGGAAUGCGCAGAUAUCAGGAGGAACACCGAUGGCGAAGGCAGAUCUCUGGGCCGUAACUGACGCUGAGGAGCGAAAGCAUGGGGAGCGAACAGGAUUAGAUACCCUGGUAGUCCAUGCCGUAAACGUUGGGCGCUAGAUGUAGGGACCUUU
rnacentral:rRNA from 1 species